ensembl:lncRNA
UGAAAAUGACCAAAUCACUCACCUUCUUUUUUUUCCCUCUUCUUUUUCUGAUUAACAUCCUAGGCGUGUUGUUCAUUAAUUCUUGGCAUCUGCUUUUGUCACUUCUUGGGAUGAAAAUCUAUGAAGAAAAAUACCUCCCUACUUAAUAAUUUUUCCAGGGGCUGUGAGAAUUCAAGGAGCUGUGGGUGAGGUGGCCAACUUCUUCCUCUUCAUGCUCAUCUUUUCCAAGUGACCUUCCAAGGACCUGAAGCUUUACCCAAGAGGUUUUCAUGACAGUAGAUACUGACCUGGAUGCGACAGAAAAAAGCUGAAGAGAGGCAUGAAUGAACUUAAAAUUCAAAAUAAUAUGGACAAAAGAGGCUUCUUUCCCAGUUUUCUCUACUUUACAGCACUUCUCUGGAAGUUCUUUCCGUUUCCUCUCUCUAUUUUUGCACGUGUCUUCUGUAGGGCAGUGCUGGGUCCUCAGGCGUUUGAGGGUGAAAUCUCUAUUGUUCACCCCACCUCCAGAAUGAUCAGAA